UACGUAGGUGGCGAGCGUUGUCCGGAUUUACUGGGCGUAAAGAGCGCGCAGGCGGUCGUUCAAGUCGCGUGUGAAAGCCCCCGGCUCAACUGGGGAGGGUCACGCGAUACUGAUCGACUCGAAGGCAGGAGAGGGUAGUGGAAUUCCCGGUGUAGUGGUGAAAUGCGUAGAUAUCGGGAGGAACACCAGUGGCGAAGGCGACUACCUGGCCUGUUCUUGACGCUGAGGCGCGCAAGCUAGGGGAGCAAACGGG
rnacentral:rRNA from 1 species